GGUGUAGGCGUUAGAGUAUUGCGAGGAUCUCUUCUUAGUACGAGAGGACCGGAAGAGACGUACCUCUGGUGUGCCAGUUAUCGUGCCAACGGUAGACGCUGGGUAGCCAUGUACGGUUAGGAUAACCGCUGAAAGCAUCUAAGUGGGAAGCCAGCCUCAAGAUGAGUACUCUUACCAUAAAAAAUGGUUAAGGUCACGGCAAGACUAGCCGUUUGAUAGGUACCAAGUGUAUGUACAGUAAUGUAUUUAGCUGAGGUAUCCUAAUAGACCGAAUGCUUGACUUA
rnacentral:rRNA from 1 species